rnacentral:ncRNA from 1 species
AAAUUGAAGAGUUUGAUCAUGGCUCAGAUUGAACGCUGGCGGCAGGCCUAACACAUGCAAGUCGAGCGGAAACGAGUUCACUGAACCUUCGGGGAACGUGAACGGCGUCGAGCGGCGGACGGGUGAGUAAUGCCUGGGAAAUUGCCCUGAUGUGGGGGAUAACCAUUGGAAACGAUGGCUAAUACCGCAUAAUAGCUUCGGCUCAAAGAGGGGGACCUUCGGGCCUCUCGCGUCAGGAUAUGCCCAGGUGGGAUUAGCUAGUUGGUGAGGUAAGGG